rnacentral:rRNA from 1 species
UGGGGAAUAUUGCACAAUGGGCGCAAGCCUGAUGCAGCCAUGCCGCGUGUGUGAAGAAGGCCUUCGGGUUGUAAAGCACUUUCAGCGGGGAGGAAGGCGAUAAGGUUAAUAACCUUGUCGAUUGACGUCACCCGCAGAAGAAGCACCGGCUAACUCCGUGCCAGCAGCCGCGGUAAUACGGAGGGUGCAAGCGUUAAUCGGAAUUACUGGGCGUAAAGCGCACGCAGGCGGUUUGUUAAGUCAGAUGUGAAAUCCCCGGGCUCAACCUGGGAACUGCAUCUGAUACUGGCAAGCUUGAGUCUCGUAGAGGGGGGUAGAAUUCCAGGUGUAGCGGUGAAAUGCGUAGAGAUCUGGAGGAAUACCGGUGGCGAAGGCGGCCCCCUGGACGAAGACUGACGCUCAGGUGCGAAAGCGUGGGGAGCAAACAGG